AUUGAACGCUGGCGGCAGGCCUAACACAUGCAAGUCGAGCGAGCGGCGGACGGGUGUGUAUUGUCUGGGAAACUGUCCGAUGGAGGGGGAUAACUACUGGAAACGGUAUCUAAUAUCGCACACCAUCUGAUGUGCCCAGAUGGGAUUAGCUCGUAGGUGGGGUAAUGGCUCACCUAGGCGACGAUCCCUAGCUGGUCUGAGAGGAUGACCAGCCACACUGGAACUGAGACACGGUCCAGACUCCUACGGGAGGCAGCAGUGGGGAAUAUUGCACAAUGGGCGCAAGCCUGAUGCAGCCAUGCCGCGUGUGUGAAGAAGGCCUUCGGGUUGUAAAGCACUUUCAGCGGGGAGGCGUUACCCGCAGAAGAAGCACCGGCUAACUCCGUGCCAGCAGCCGCGGUAAUUC
rnacentral:rRNA from 1 species